rnacentral:rRNA from 1 species
UACGGAGGGAGCUAGCGUUGUUCGGAUAUACUGGGCGUAAAGAGCGCGCAGGCGGUCGUUCAAGUCGCGUGUGAAAGCCCCCGGCUCAACUGGGGAGGGUCACGCGAUACUGAUCGACUCGAAGGCAGGAGAGGGUAGUGGAAUUCCCGGUGUAGUGGUGAAAUGCGUAGAUAUCGGGAGGAACACCAGUGGCGAAGGCGACUACCUGGCCUGUUCUUGACGCUGAGGCGCGAAAGCUAGGGGAGCAAACGGG